rnacentral:rRNA from 1 species
GAUGAACGCUGGCGGCGUGCCUAAUACAUGCAAGUCGAGCGAACGGACGAGAAGCUUGCUUCUCUGAUGUUAGCGGCGGACGGGUGAGUAACACGUGGAUAACCUACCUAUAAGACUGGGAUAACUUCGGGAAACCGGAGCUAAUACCGGCUGAUAUUUUGAACCGCAUGGUUCAAAAGUGAAAGACGGUCUUGCUGUCCCUUAUAGAUGGAUCCGCGCUGCAUUAGCUAGUUGGUAAGGUAACGGCUUACCAAGGCAACGAUGCAUAGCCGACCUGAGAGGGUGAUCGGCCACACUGGAACUGAGACACGGUCCAGACUCCUACGGGAGGCAGCAGUAGGGAAUCUUCCGCAAUGGGCGAAAGCCUGACGGAGCAACGCCGCGUGAGUGAUGAAGGUCUUCGGAUCGUAAAACUCUGUUAUUAGGGAAGAACAUAUGUGUAAGUAACUGUGCACAUCUUGACGGUACCUAAUCAGAAAGCCACGGCUAACUACGUG